rnacentral:pre_miRNA from 1 species
AGCACAAUUGCUGGAUCAAAUGGUAAGUGUACAUUUAACUUGUAAGAAACUGACAAACUGUUUUCCAAAAUGGCUGCACCAUUUUGCAUUCCCAUCAGCAAU